rnacentral:rRNA from 1 species
AAGGUGAACGUAGAUGGAGCACGGUGGGUGGUCACGGAAUAUUUUGACGAACACAACCACGAACUCAUAAAGAAAUUCGACCUGGUAAAAUUUCUGACCGCCCACAGAGGAUUCACCCCCCUCGAGAAGAAAUUCAUAAAGCUGCUACAUGAUUGUAACGUCGGUCCAUCAAGAAUGGUACAGAUACUAUCCCUCAUCCACAGCAAAAAUGGGACUCUGAGUAGCAUGUCCUACAUACCAGUUGAUGUCACAAACCUAAAAGCAAAGUACCGUAGAGAGAGCAAGUUGGCUGACAUAGAAGCCACGAUGGCCUACUUCGAUGAGAAAGCAAAGGAAGAUCCAGAUUUCUUCUACAGGAUAAAAUUGGACGAUGAGGACCGUGUCAGGAACAUGUAUUGGGUGGAUGGUGCUGCAAGAAAAGCCUACAAACAUUUCCGAGAUUGCAUUUCAUUCGACGCAACGUAUCUCACUAAUAUGUACAAGAUGCCAUGUGCUCAAUUCAUAGGAAUAAAUAACCACAACAUUGAUGGGUACACUUGGCUAUUCAAGACCUUCUUGGAGUGCAUGGAUGGACUUGCUCCAAUGAACAUAGUAACAGACCAGGAUUUUAGCAUGCAUGCAGGCAUAUAAGAGGUCUUUCUGUUGGCAGUGCACAGGCACUGCAGGUGGCACAUUAUAAAGAAGGCUGAGGAGACGCUAUGACCGUUCUUUGCUACUACGCAGCGCAGCGAGGGGUUCAAUGCUGUUUUGAAGCUACAGGAUGGCAUUGUGUGCUGCCACAUACUAAAGGUAAUGAACAUGAACGCGGUGAUACGAAUGCCCCGCCAUUUCAUAAGGUGGCGAUGGACUUGGGACGCUGACGACGUAUUGGCACCGCAAACAUCAAACGCAGUUUUACUGUGCAUGACGAGAGACUGGAGUCAACCAUGGAAGCCGUGA